GCCUUGGUUGCAUUAUUGAUUCAUCUCGUCAUAUAAGGAAAAAGAAGAAGUUAGAGCAUCUUUUGUCACUGGUGAAGCAAAUCCCCUCUGUAUCGACGCGAGAUGCUUUUCGGCCUGCAAUGAAAGAACUAGUUGCCGAUGGACUUCUACGACAUUCUGACAUGGAUGUGAAGGUGUCAGUUGCAUCUUGCAUCAGUGAGAUCAUGAGAAUUACAGCUCCAGAUCAACCGUAUAAGGAUAGCAUACUUAAGGACUUUUUUGAGCUUGCAGUGUUGGCGUUUAGGAAAUUGUCUUGCUUGAAUGGUCGUUGUUAUUCAAAGGCUGUCUCAAUUAUUAAAGUUCUGGCAAAGUACCGAACAAGCGUGCUCAUGUUGGAUCUCAUGUUAGAUACAUUGAUUGUUCAUAUGUUUCAACAUUUUCUCAAUGGUAUAAGGCCCGAGCACCCUGAUAAAGUAUUCACGGACAUCAAGGAAAUAAUGACCAUGAUAAUAAAAGAGAGUGAAAACAUUCCAAUGCAAUUUCUGAGCAUCCUUGCGAACAUCCUCAUAAAUAGUGUUAAGAAGGAAAAUCAGAAUGUUUCGCCUCGUUCUUAUGUGCUGG
rnacentral:misc_RNA from 1 species